CCUACGGGUGGCUGCAGUGAGGAAUAUUGGUCAAUGGCCGGAAGGCUGAACCAGCCAAGCCGCGUGAGGGAGGAAGGCGCAGAGCGUCGCAGACCUCUUUUGCCGGGGGACAAACGGCCGGACUCGUCCGGUCCUGAGGGUACCCGGCGAAAAAGCAUCGGCUAACUCCGUGCCAGCAGCCGCGGUAAUACGGAGGAUGCGAGCGUUAUCCGGAUUCAUUGGGUUUAAAGGGUGCGCAGGCGGGCCUUUAAGCCGGCGGUGAAAUCGCGGGGCUCAACCCCGUCGAGCCGUUGAAACUGGCAGACUUGAGUGGGCGAGAAGUACGCGGAAUGCGCGGUGUAGCGGUGAAAUGCAUAGAUAUCGCGCAGAACUCCGAUUGCGAAGGCAGCGUACCGGCGCCAGACUGACGCUGAGGCACGAAAGCGUGGGGAUCGAACAGGAUUAGAUACCCUGGUAGUC
rnacentral:rRNA from 1 species